rnacentral:misc_RNA from 1 species
AAGUCGUAACAAGGUUUCCGUAGGUGAACCUGCGGAAGGAUCAUUCAUAACAAGUGUCCUACUGCACUUUUUAAACAAGUACUCACCUUGUGUGAAAUGUUCGUGCUACACGCGUCGCGUCAGUGACGCGUCAUGCGCAUAAUACCAACUUUUUGAUUGCAAUUUUUUAGUCUGAAGCUAUUUUGAAUGAAAUAAUUCUAAAUACAA